UCUUUGGAACCUAACUCCAGAACACAGCCCAAGAUCAGAGCUGCCAGACCGCAACACCUUGCCAACCAUACCGCGCAGAAGCUGGAGGAGUCCUGGAUGACCUGAUCCUGACUAGCCACCAUGAAAAGUUCAUCUGCCUCACUGGGAGUGCAGACCCAGUCUCGGCCAGGCCCAGAAUACUUUUUCCUAUCACCCUGUUUUGGCACUGAGCAGAGCUCACCUGGGAGAGAUGAUCAGAACGACAGUGGUCGGGGGAGCACUUGGACAAAAUCAGGUGUUGAGUAACCAAAUGGAAAAGAAGUUGGAAGAGGGAAAGAAAGAGUGAAAAAACCUG